GAACNCGGNCCAGGGAGUUCNAAAUGGCGCGCGAGUCAUUGGGUUUAGUAAUCCAAAGGCGAAGUGAAAUGCGAGUGUAUUGUUAAUUGUGUUUGUAUGCACGAUGAAAUGAUAAGCUACUGAUGAUAUCAGUCAUUUGUAGACUACAAGCGCGUCGUUUGAGACCCGAAAGAUGGUGAUCUAUGCCUAGUCAAGAUGAAGCCAGAGGAAACUCUGGUGGAUGUCUGAAGUUUUUCUGACGUGCAAAUCGAUAAUCUGAUCUGGGUAUAGGGGCGAAAGACUAAUCGAACCAUCUAGUAGCUGGUUCCUUCCGAAGUUUCCCUCAGGAUAGCAAGCGUACAAUGGUAGUUUCAUCCAGUAAAGCGAAUGAUUAGAGGUCUUGGGGCAUAUGUAGCCUCAACCUAUUCUCAAACUUUUAAUGGGUGUGAGUUCUCUUUCUUAUCUGAAGAGCUACUAAUAAAUAAGUAUGCUUAGUGGGCCAUUUUUGGUAAGCAGAACUGGCGCUGUGGGUUGAACCAAAUGUUGAGUUAAAGUGCCUAAAGCUGAAAUGCGUAUGAGAUCUAUAAAGGGUGUUAGUUGCUGAAGACAGCAGGACGGUGGGCAUGGAANUCNGA
rnacentral:rRNA from 1 species